AAACAUCGCCUCCUGAACACCUAAAAUAGGAGGUCCAGCCUGCCCUGUGAUCUUGAAUUCAACGGCCGCGGUAUUUUGACCGUGCAAAGGUAGCGCAAUCACUUGUCUUUUAAAUGAAGACCUGUAUGAAGGGCACAACGAGGGUUUGACUGUCUCCUCUUCCCGGUCAAUGAAAUUGUUUUCUCCGUGCAGAAACGGAGAUAAGCACAUAAGACGAGAAGACCCUGUGAAGCUUUAGAUAAUAAAUAGCUCCUGUAAAAUACCCUCACAAGCAGGCUAGAACUACCAGGAGAUCUAUCUUACAUCUUUGGUUGGGGCGACCGCGGGGGAACAAAGAUCCUCCAUGUGGAAUAAGAACACCUUCUUUUAACCGAGGGCAUCAGCUCAAAGUAACAGAACAUCUGACCUAUAAAGAUCCGGCAUAGCCGAUUAACGGACCCAGUUACCCCAGGGAUAACAGCGCAAUCCCCUCCCAGAGCCCAUAUCGACGAGGGGGUUUACGACCUCGAUGUUGGAUCAGGACAUCCUAAUGGUGUAACCGCUAUUAAGGGUUCGUUUGUUCAACGAUUAAAUAGU
rnacentral:rRNA from 1 species